rnacentral:rRNA from 1 species
AGAGUUUGAUCCUGGCUCAGAUUGAACGCUGGCGGCAUGCCUUACACAUGCAAGUCGAACGGCAGCGGACCUUCGGGUGCCGGCGAGUGGCGAACGGGUGAGUAACGUAUCGGAACGUACCUUUCAGUGGGGGAUAACGUAGCGAAAGUUACGCUAAUACCGCAUAUUCUGUGAGCAGGAAAGCAGGGGAUCGCAAGACCUUGCGCUGAUUGAGCGGCCGAUAUCAGAUUAGCUAGUUGGUGAGGUAAAGGCUCACCAAGGCGACGAUCUGUAGCGGGUCUGAGAGGAUGAUCCGCCACACUGGAACUGAGACACGGUCCAGACUCCUACGGGAGGCAGCAGUGGGGAAUUUUGGACAAUGGGGGCAACCCUGAUCCAGCCAUACCGCGUGAGUGAAGAAGGCCUUCGGG